GGAGGGUGCAAGCGUUGUUCGGAAUUACUGGGCGUAAAGAGCGUGUAGGCGGUUUGGCAAGUCAGAUGUGAAAGCCCUGGGCUCAACCCAGGAAGUGCAUUUGAAACUGCCAUACUAGAGUAUGGGAGAGGAGAGUGGAAUUCCCAGUGUAGAGGUGAAAUUCGUAGAUAUUGGGAGGAACACCCGUGGCGAAGGCGACUCUCUGGAUCAAUACUGACGCUGAGACGCGAAAGCGUGGGGGAGCAAACAGGAUUAGAUACCCUGGUAGUCCACGCCGUAAACGAUGAGAACUAGGUGUAGUGGGUAUUGACCCCCCCCCCGCUGUGCCGUAGCUAACGCAUUAAGUUCUCCGCCUGGGAGUACGGUCGCAAGGCUA
rnacentral:rRNA from 1 species